rfam:Myotis davidii contig25866, whole genome shotgun sequence.
GGCAGUUCUCGGUUGACGCACCCUGGAAUCGGGCUCCCUCCUCUCUGGGUCCGGGGUGUGUCACCUGAGAACCACC